rnacentral:rRNA from 1 species
ACACCCAUGGCAGCAAAUUUGGCAGCCGUCUUCUGCGUUCCGUUUCCGCCGAGGAUCACAAGACAGUCCAGACAGAGCUUAUAGUAAGUCUGUUUCAUUGCCUCAACCUUGUCCAGUCCCUUCUCAUCCGGAACCCGCAUCAGUUUAAACGGCUGUCUGGAUGUUCCGAGAAUAGUUCCGCCCUGAGUCAGGAUCCCGGAAAAGUCCCUGGCUGUAAGCAUACGGUAUUUCCCGUAGAUCAGUCCCUUAUAUCCGUCAUCAAAUCCAUAAACCUCAAGGUUCUCAACGCUGUUGCUCAGGCCCUUCACAACGCCUCUCAUAGUUGCGUUCAGCGCCUGGCAGUCACCACCGCUUGUAAGCAGACCGAUUCUUUUAAUCAUAGCGUCCUCCAUUCUGUGCCCUCUUAUGUGCACAUUUUAUUUGUUGCUGUCUGCAUAUAAGACAGAUAUUCCACCUGACGUAUUUCUGCAGAACAACUACUGUAUCCUCUCUUUUCACAGAGUUUUACACAGUAUAAUAUUAUAAAGCAUUUUCAGGCAGUGUACAAUAGCCAAAAAAACCCGGAUCAUUUAUAUGCCCACAUCCGGAUCGGACCUGGGAUACGAUGAAAUCUCGAUCAGCAAUAUUCCGGCUAAACAGAGCAUUCUCAGCUUCAAUUCAGUUUCACUCUUCGCAACACCAAAAACGGCGGUAUUCAGAACUGCCACCUCAGUCUUCUCAGCUGAUAUCCCUGUUUUAAAACCUGCGCCUUUAUGCUGAAAUCAAAAACUGAAUACGUGAAAUAUCCGGGGGCUCCUUUUUAUAAAAACAGAUCUGGCGCAUCUUGUAGUAACGAAGUCCGUGAGCUGUGCGUCAAGAAAAGCCGCUAUUGUUCAUACCAUACCCGUACCGUAAACCGACACAGGUGGAUGAGGAGAGAAUCCUAAGGCCGGCGGAAGAAGCAUUGUCAAGGAACUCGGCAAAAUGGCCCCGUAACUUAGGGAUAAGGGGUGCCUGGGAAACCAGGCCGCAGAGAAUAGGCUCAAGCAACUGUUUAGCAAAAACACAGGUCUAUGCGAAACCGAAAGGUGAGGUAUAUGGGCUGACGCCUGCCCGGUGCUGGAAGGUUAAGAGGAGAGGUUAGCGCAAGCGAAGCUUUGAAUUUAAGCCCCAGUAAACGGCGGCCGUAACUAUAACGGUCCUAAGGUAGCGAAAUUCCUUGUCGGGUAAGUUCCGACCCGCACGAAAGGCGUAAUGAUUUGAGCGCUGUCUCGACAAUGCACCCGGUGAAAUUGAAAUACCAGUGAAGAUGCUGGUUACCUGCGCCAGGACGGAAAGACCCCAUGGAGCUUUACUCCAGCUUGAUACUGGGAUUCGAUACUGUAUGUACAGGAUAGGUGGGAGACGUUGAGCAUAGAACGCCAGUUUUAUGUGAGUCGCUGUUGGGAUACCACCCUUGCAGUAUUGGAUUUCUAACCUGCACCCAUGACCUGGGUGGGGGACAAUGUCUGGCGGGGAGUUUGACUGGGGCGGUCGCCUCCGAAAGGGUAUCGGAGGCGCUCAAAGGUUCCCUCAGAAUGGUUGCCUCAGGAGCACCGGAUAGAGGUUGUGAAUCCGCCAUGGUCAUUAUCCCCCGAGCUUCGACUUAUCGCGCACCGCACCUUUGUCGGCACUGGUUGCCAGGCUGGCAUAGGCGCGCAGUGCAAAGGAGACCUGACGUUGACGAUCUUUUGGCGUCCAGGCUUUGUCACCGCGAGCUUCCUGCGCUUCACGGCGCGCAGCGAUUUCCGCAUCACUCAGUUGCAGUUGAAUGCCACGAUUCGGGAUAUCGAUGGCAAUCAUGUCACCAUCUUCGAUAAUCGCGAUAUUACCGCCGCUGGCCGCUUCCGGAGAAACGUGACCGAUGGAAAGCCCCGAAGUACCGCCGGAGAAACGACCAUCGGUAAUCAGCGCACAAGCCUUGCCGA